GUGGUUGUGUAUCGUGUUUGUGGCACCCUCCAUGGAUCAUCUCUCUAUGAUGAAUGAGCUAUGUCCUUCUUGUGCAAAUUGUUAAACUUCAUGUGCCACUCUCUUCGUCUCUGAUGUCAGUUUAUCUCAGGACUUCCCAAAUCGAUAUUGAAAGUUUUUCUACAGGGGUUAGUCCGACAAAAAUAUACCAAUGUCUACACAAGCAGUUUUUAGUUCAAUAACCGAACUAGACUCCAUGUCUAAUCAG
rnacentral:lncRNA from 1 species